rnacentral:rRNA from 1 species
GCUUGCUUCUGAUACUUAGUGGCGGACGGGUGAGUAAUGCUUAGGAAUCUGCCUAGUAGUGGGGGAUAACUUGGGGAAACCCAAGCUAAUACCGCAUACGACCUACGGGUGAAAGGGGGCUUUUAGCUCUCGCUAUUAGAUGAGCCUAAGUCGGAUUAGCUGGUUGGUGGGGUAAAGGCCUACCAAGGCGACGAUCUGUAGCUGGUCUGAGAGGAUGAUCAGCCACACUGGGACUGAGACACGGCCCAGACUCCUACGGGAGGCAGCAGUGGGGAAUAUUGGACAAUGGGCGAAAGCCUGAUCCAGCCAUGCCGCGUGUGUGAAGAAGGCCUUUUGGUUGUAAAGCACUUUAAGUGGGGAGGAAAAGCUUAUGGUUAAUACCCAUAAGCCCUGACGUUACCCACAGAAUAAGCACCGGCUAACUCUGUGCCAGCAGCCGCGGUAAUACAGAGGGUGCAAGCGUUAAUCGGAAUUACUGGGCGUAAAGCGCGCGUAGGUGGUUAUUUAAGUCAGAUGUGAAAGCCCCGGGCUUAACCUGGGAACUGCAUCUGAUACUGGAUAACUAGAGUAGGUGAGAGGGGAGUAG